UGCAAGUCGAACGCUAACUAUUCUGUAGCAAUAUAGGAUAGUUGGAGUGGCGCAAGGGUGCGUAACACGUGGGUAAUUUGCCGUGAAGUUGGGGAUAACUCGCUGAAAGGCGAGCUAAUACCGGAUGUGACUUUUGGAAGGCAUCUUCUGAAAUUCAAAGUUGGGGACCGCAAGGCCUGACGCUUCAUGAUAAGCCCGCGGCCUAUCAGCUAGUUGGUGAGGUAACGGCUCACCAAGGCUAAGACGGGUAGCUGGUCUGAGAGGACGACCAGCCUCACUGGAACUGAGACACGGUCCAGACACCUACGGGUGGCAGCAGUCGAGAAUUUUUCACAAUGGGCGAAAGCCUGAUGGAGCGACGCCGCGUGGGGGAUGAAUGGCUUCGGCCCGUAAACCCCUGUCAUUUGCGAACAAACCUUUCCACUUAAUACCUGGAGAGCUGAUAGUAGCGAAAGAGGAAGGGACGGCUAACUCUGUGCCAGCAGCCGCGGUAAUACAGAGGUCCCAAGCGUUGUUCGGAUUCACUGGGCGUAAAGGGUGCGUAGGUGGUGGGGUAAGUUUGAUGUGAAAGCUCCGAGCUCAACUCGGAAAUGGCAUUGAAUACUAUCUCGCUAGAGGUUUGGAGGGGGGACUGGAAUUCUCGGUGUAGCAGUGAAAUGCGUAGAUAUCGAGAGGAACACCAGUGGCGAAGGCGAGUCCCUGGACAACACCUGACACUGAGGCACGAAAGCUAGGGGAGCAAACAGGAUUAGAUACCCUGGUAGUCCUAGCCGUAAACGGUGCGUAUUUGCUGUAAAAGGAAUCGACCCCUUUUGUGGCGUAGCCAACGCGAUAAAUACGCCGCCUGGGAAGUACGGUCGCAAGAUUAAAACUCAAAGAAAUUGACGGGGGCCUGCACAAGCGGUGGAGUAUGUGGCUUAAUUCGAUGC
rnacentral:rRNA from 1 species